rnacentral:rRNA from 1 species
GACGAACGCUGGCGGCGUGCUUAACACAUGCAAGUCGUACGGUAAGGCCCUUUCUGGGGUACACUAGUGGCGAACGGUUGAGUAACACGUGAGUAACCUUCCCACAACUUUUUUUUAACGCUAGUAAACUGGUGCUAAUUCUGGUUAUGUGCUCCUGCUGCAUGGUGGGGGUUGGAAAGCUCGGGCGGUUGUGGAUGGACUCGCGGCCUAUCGGCUUGUUUGUGGGGUAGUGGCCUACCAAGGCGCCGACGGGUAGCCGGCCUGAGAGGGUGACCGGCCAAAUUGGGACUGAGAUACGGCCCAGACGGGUACGGGAGGAAGAAGUGGGGAAUAUUGAACAAUGGGGGCAAGCCUGAUGCAGAAAGGCCGCGUGCGGGAUGACGGCCUUCGGGUUGAAAAAAGGUUUCAGCAGGGACGAAGGAUUUUGUGACGGUACCUGAAGAAGAAGCACCGGCUAACUACGUG